GUUCCCGCGAGGGAGGGUCUGGAGGAAGCCAGCAGCAAAGCUGCGAGCCGACGGACAGAAACAUCAUAGAAGGCCGAGCGAGAGUAGUAGGUAGGGUGGGCAAAACUAGGAUAGAUAAUCCUUGCUAGCGUCUGUAAGCUUU
rfam:Halomicronema hongdechloris C2206 genome.